rnacentral:rRNA from 1 species
CGAGCGCACUCUUUUAGAGUGAGCGGCAAACGGGUGAGUAACGCGUGGGAAUCUACCCAUCUCUACGGAAUAACACAGAGAAAUUUGUGCUAAUACCGUAUACGUCCUAUUUGGAGAAAGAUUUAUCGGAGAUGGAUGAGCCCGCGUUGGAUUAGCUAGUUGGUGAGGUAACGGCUCACCAAGGCGACGAUCCAUAGCUGGUCUGAGAGGAUGAUCAGCCACACUGGGACUGAGACACGGCCCAGACUCCUACGGGAGGCAGCAGUGGGGAAUAUUGGACAAUGGGGGCAACCCUGAUCCAGCCAUGCCGCGUGAGUGAUGAAGGCCCUAGGGUUGUAAAGCUCUUUCACCGGUGAAGAUAAUGACGGUAACCGGAGAAGAAGCCCCGGCUAACUUCGUGCCA